rnacentral:rRNA from 1 species
GAUGAACGCUGGCGGCGUGCCUAAUACAUGCAAGUCGAGCGAACAGACGAGAGUGCUUGCCCUCUCUGACGUUAGCGGCGGACGGGUGAGUAACACGUGGGUAACCUACCUAUAAGACUGGGAUAACUUCGGGAAACCGGAGCUAAUACCGGAUAAUAUUUAGCUUCGCAUGAAGCAAUAGUGAAAGACGGUUCUGCUGUCACUUAUAGAUGGACCCGCGGUGUAUUAGCUAGUUGGUGAGGUAACGGCUCACCAAGGCAACGAUACAUAGCCGACCUGAGAGGGUGAUCGGCCACACUGGGACUGAGACACGGCCCAGACUCCUACGGGAGGCAGCAGUAGGGAAUCUUCCGCAAUGGACGAAAGUCUGACGGAGCAAUGCCGCGUGAGUGAAGAAGGUUUUCGGAUCGUAAAACUCUGUUGUAAGGGAAGAACAAGUACGUUAGUAACUGAACGUACCUUGACGGUACCUGAACAGAAAGCCACGGCUAACUACGUG